UACGAAGGGGGCUAGCGUUGUUCGGAUUUACUGGGCGUAAAGCGCACGUAGGCGGAUCUUUAAGUCAGAGGUGAAAUCCCAAGGCUCAACCUUGGAACUGCCUUUGAUACUGGGGAUCUUGAGUCCGGGAGAGGUGAGUGGAACUGCGAGUGUAGAGGUGAAAUUCGUAGAUAUUCGCAAGAACACCAGUGGCGAAGGCGGCUCACUGGCCCGGAACUGACGCUGAGGCGCGAAAGCGUGGGGAGCAAACAGG
rnacentral:rRNA from 1 species